rnacentral:lncRNA from 1 species
AGACAUAAACAUUUUCUAAUAACUCAAGCUUUCAAUAACAACCUGCUAUGUGUUGCCAGGGUCUUGGAGAAAACCAAAGACAAAGGAACCAUCUUCUUCCCUGAGGUCAACAAUGGAAGGAGAUGUAGAAGACACCAAAACAAGAACUCGGCAGGCUCAGGACAUGACAACGGAGACACAGUUUACAGGACCUCAUUCGCACUCCAAUGACAAUGAAAGGAAGGGGGUGUUGGGCAGAGAAGCAAAGAGCUCCGGUUCUCACCAUCACACGGUAGCGG